rnacentral:rRNA from 1 species
GACGAACGCUGGCGGCGUGCCUAAUACAUGCAAGUUGAGCGAUGAAGCUUGGUGCUUGCACCAAUUUGAAGAGCAGCGAACGGGUGAGUAACGCGUGGGGAAUCUGCCUUUGAGCGGGGGACAACAUUUGGAAACGAAUGCUAAUACCGCAUAAUAACUUUAAACAUAAGUUUUAAGUUUGAAAGAUGCAAUUGCAUCACUCAAAGAUGAUCCCGCGUUGUAUUAGCUAGUUGGUGAGGUAAAGGCUCACCAAGGCGAUGAUACAUAGCCGACCUGAGAGGGUGAUCGGCCACAUUGGGGCUGAGACACGGCCCAAACUCCUACGGGAGGCAGCAGUAGGGAAUCUUCGGCAAUGGACGAAAGUCUGACCGAGCAACGCCGCGUGAGUGAAGAAGGUUUUCGGAUCGUAAAACUCUGUUGGUAGAGAAGAACGUUGGUGAGAGUGGAAAGCUCAUCAAGUGACGGUAACUACACAGAAAGGGACGGCUAACUACGUG